UAUCGAAAGGCACGCCAUCGUGUUGGGAUUCAAUAUUUCGACAUUAAUUAUGUCAUCAUCAGUGUUGACAUGAUGAUGACACAGUCCAAUCAUCACCUCAUCAAACGGAUCACAGGCCUACAUUAUAAUAUUUCUGCAAUUGCAAUGAGGUUCAUAAUAGUGUAUUCAGGUGUGUUAACUCUAGUUGUGCUAUACACGUUAAAUUCAACUGAGAAAUUAAAAAUACAGAAUUUUAAUGUUGCAUUAUCAAGAUCACGUGAUAUCAUCACCACGCCAACAGAUUCAGCAGAAU